GGGGCAGUAGCUCAGUGGUAGAGCUCCCGCCUCGUACGCGGGAAGACCGGGGUUCGAUUCCUGGCUUCUUUC
rfam:Toxocara canis scaffold281, whole genome shotgun sequence.